ACUCGGGCGGUUCGGGUGCGGGUUCGAACUCGGGCGGUGCGGGUUCGGGUUCGGGUUCGGGUUCGGGUUCGGGUUCGGGUUCGGGUUCGGGUUC
rnacentral:tRNA from 1 species